AUUGAACGCUGGCGGCAGGCUUAACACAUGCAAGUCGAGCGGGGGAGGUUACUUCGGUAACUGACCUAGCGGCGGACGGGUGAGUAAUGCUUAGGAAUCUGCCUAUUAGUGGGGGACAACAUUCCGAAAGGAACGCUAAUACCGCAUACGCCCUACGGGGGAAAGCAGGGGAUCUUCGGACCUUGCGCUAAUAGAUGAGCCUAAGUCGGAUUAGCUAGUUGGUGGGGUAAAGGCCUACCAAGGCGACGAUCUGUAGCGGGUCUGAGAGGACGAUCCGCCACACUGGGACUGAGACACGGCCCAGACUCCUACGGGAGGCAGCAGUGGGGAAUAUUGGACAAUGGGGGGAACCCUGAUCCAGCCAUGCCGCGUGUGUGAAGAAGGCCUUUUGGUUGUAAAGCACUUUAAGCGAGGAGGAGGCGCUCUAGGUUAAUACCCUAGAUGCGUGGACGUUACUCGCAGAAUAAGCACCGGCUAACUCUGUGCCAGCCGCCGCGGUAAAAC
rnacentral:rRNA from 1 species